AGCAGGUAGCUUAUAUUUUAAAGCAUAACACUGAAGAUGUUAUUAAGGUAAUUUAUCCCUGCUA
rnacentral:tRNA from 1 species